rnacentral:lncRNA from 1 species
GAGGUGGAGGUGUUGUUGGCAGUGGAGGCUGUAACUCCGGGUGAGGAGGCAAUGGAGGACGAAAAUCAGACUGAGGGGGUAAAGAUGAUAAUGGCGGAGGUGGCGGUAAAGAUGAUAAUGGUGGAGGAACAACAGGCACAGAGAACAUCUGAUCAAAUGGUGCUGCAGAACUUCCCCGGAUCUGUGCCAGUGGGGUCACAGAAGCAGGUAAAAAUGGUGGGCCUUG